rnacentral:lncRNA from 1 species
AAUGGGGUCGUGCAAACUUAUAUACAAGGGGGAAUUAGAAAAUAAGGAAACUAAAUCUAUCCCAAUAAAUAGAGAAUAAUCAACGCCUAUGAUCAUUACACAAUCACUUUUACAUUUUUUCUGCUUGUAUUAUGUUUAUUUUUUUCACCGCAGAACCAAACACACGUUCAUGAUCAUCAAAACAAGUGAUGAAGACGGAUAGGAAUUCCCUCUGUUGGUAUAGGUAUCAUAGCACCAGAUACUUCCUCAUCAGGAAGCAUAACUUCCCAUUUGAACUUUGUUACAAGAUUGUGAAUGAAAGUGAGAAUCGCAAGCCGUGUGUAAUCCUUUCCAGGACAAGAUCUUGGUCCUGAUCCAAAGGGUAUAUAAGUGUAUGGUGCAAGAACAUUAUUCCCUUCAAACCUAGAUGGAUCAAAACUUUCAGGUUUAUCAAAGUACUUGGGAUUCUUAUUUGUUCCAAUAAAUGCCCAGAAUAUCUGUUAAAGUACAAGUUCACAAAUGAUUUAGUAACAAUUUAAGUUACAUGUUACUACUUUUUAAUGAAUAUAGGCAAUAUCUUAAUAUAUUAUGAUGAAUUCAAUUUGAAGGUACCUUCCAUCCCUUUGGAAUGGUAAAGCCUUCAUAGGUGAAAUCUGUUUUAGCCUCUCUGAAUGCUCCUGGUGCAGGAGAGUAUAGUCUCAUGCUCUCCAAUGCAACAGCCCAUGUAUAUUUUAGCUUCUGUAUGCUAUCCCAAUCUAGUUGUGAUGUACCACUUUCUUUUGAGGAUCUUUUAAUAUCAGCAUGCUCUGAUUCAAUAUAUACA